AACAAAAAACACUGGAUUUGUCGGUCAGCAACAUAUCCAUACCAGGCAACUUGCAGCUGUGCACAACUUGUUGCAAUGAACACAUGACAAACGGAAGCUCGUUCGCCUUUGCCCAUUAUGGUUCAAGUUGUUACGAGAUACUAUUAACCAAUCUUCAUUGGCAACAAGCCCAGGACAAGUGUACACAACUUGGAGGAAAAGUGCUGAACAUUACCAGUUCAGAAGAGCAUAUUUACAUUAAACAGUUGCUGCAACAUUAUGGAUUAAAGCAAGAAAUAUGGCUCCUGGGAUACGAUUAUCCUCCACACCUGGUUAAUGCUACUUGUGCGGUGUUGGAGCCACAGCUUGAUGGUCGUUGGAUUGUGUCACAAUGUGGCCUUAUUGCUGAUGUCACACGCGGUGUAAUAUGUGAAUACGAGCUAACACAUUCUGCGUCGUCUUUACCGCUCAUCGGAUAAACAUCAAGCAGUAAUUUGAAUUUUUUAUGGAUUGUA